ACAUCCAGCGAACUUGGCAGAGAUGCCUUGGUGCCUUCGGGAACGCUGAGACAGGUGCUGCAUGGCUGUCGUCAGCUCGUGUUGUGAAAUGUUGGGUUAAGUCCCGNAACGAGCGCAACCCUUAUCCUUUGUUGCCAGCGAUUCGGUCGGGAACUCAAAGGAGACUGCCGGUGAAUAAACCGGAGGAAGGUGGGGAUGACGUCAAGUCAUCAUGGCCCUUACGAGUAGGGCUACACACGUGCUACAAUGGCGCAUACAAAGAGAAGCGACCUCGCGAGAGCAAGCGGACCUCAUAAAGUGCGUCGUAGUCCGGAUCGGAGUCUGCAACUCGACUCCGUGAAGUCGGAAUCGCUAGUAAUCGUGGAUCAGAAUGCCACGGUGAAUACGUUCCCGGGCCUUGUACACACCGCCCGUCACACCAUGGGAGUGGGUUGCAAAAGAAGUAGGUAGCUUAACCUUCGGGAGGGCGCUUACCACUUUGUGAUUCAUGACUGGGGUGAAGUCGUAACAAGGUAGGCGUAGCGAG
rnacentral:rRNA from 1 species